rnacentral:rRNA from 1 species
CCUACGGGCGGCAGCAGUAGGGAAUAUUCCACAAUGAGCGAAAGCUUGAUGGAGCGACACAGCGUGCACGAUGAAGGCCCUCGGGUUGUAAAGUGCUGUUGCAAGGGAAGAACACUUAGUUGAGGAAAUGCAACUAAGCUGACGGUACCUUGUUAGAAAGCGAUGGCUAACUAUGUGCCAGCAGCCGCGGUAAUACAUAGGUCGCAAGCGUUAUCCGGAAUUAUUGGGCGUAAAGCGUUCGUAGGCUGUUUAUUAAGUCUGGAGUCAAAUCCCAGGGCUCAACCCUGGCUCGCUUUGGAUACUGGUAAACUAGAGUUGGAUAGAGGUAAGCGGAAUUCCAUGUGAAGCGGUGAAAUGCGUAGAUAUAUGGAAGAACACCAAAGGCGAAGGCAGCUUACUGGGUCUAUACUGACGCUGAGGGACGAAAGCGUGGGGAGCAAACAGGAUUAGAUACCCGUGUAGUC